rnacentral:rRNA from 1 species
GAUGAACGCUGGCGGCGUGCCUAAUACAUGCAAGUCGAACGAAACUUCUUUAUCACCGAGUGCUUGCACUCACCGAUAAAGAGUUGAGUGGCGAACGGGUGAGUAACACGUGGGCAACCUGCCCAAAAGAGGGGGAUAACACUUGGAAACAGGUGCUAAUACCGCAUAACCAUAGUUACCGCAUGGUAACUAUGUAAAAGGUUGCUAUACUACCGCUUUUGGAUGGGCCCGCGGCGCAUUAGCUAGUUGGUAGGGUAAAGGCUUACCAAGGCAAUGAUGCGUAGCCGAAUUGAGAGGUUGGUCGGCCACAUUGGGACUGAGACACGGCCCAAACUCCUACGGGAGGCAGCAGUAGGGAAUCUUGCACAAUGGGCGAAAGCCUGAUGGAGCAACGCCGCGUGGGUGAAGAAGGUCUUCGGAUCGUAAAACCCUGUUGUUAGAGAAGAAAGUGCGUGAGAGUAACUGUUCACGUUUCGACGGUAUCUAACCAGAAAGCCACGGCUAACUACGUG